rnacentral:rRNA from 1 species
GGAUCAGUACGCUGGUCGUGCCUUGUGUAUGUACUGGUGUUACUGGUUCCUACCUUCUGAAGAACCGUCAUGUCAUUAAUUUGGUGUGGCGGGGAAUCAGGACUGUUACUUUGAAAAAAUUAGAGUGUUCAAAGCAGGCGUAACCUGGCCUUGAAUACAUUAGCAUGGGAUAAUAGAAUA